AGCCGCCGUGGCCGAGUGGUAACACUUGCGACUGUGAUUCGCUAGGUCGCGAGUUUGAGACCCGUCACGGUUU